rnacentral:rRNA from 1 species
CCUACGGGAGGCAGCAGUGGGGAAUCUUGCGCAAUGGGCGAAAGCCUGACGCAGCAACGCCGCGUGCGGGAAGAAGGCUUUCGGGCUGUAAACCGCUUUCAGCAGGAACGAAAAUGACGGUACCUGCAGAAGAAGGAGCGGCCAACUAUGUGCCAGCAGCCGCGGUGAUACAUAGGCUUCAAGCGUUGUCCGGAUUUAUUGGGCGUAAAGAGUUCGUAGGCGGUCAAGUAAGUCGGGUGUGAAAAUUCUGGGCUCAACCCAGAGACGCCACCCGAUACUGCUUAACUUGAGUUCGAUAGGGGAGUGGGGAAUUCCUAGUGUAGCGGUGAAAUGCGCAGAUAUUAGGAGGAACACCGGUGGCGAAGGCGCCACUCUGGAUCGAUACUGACGCUGAGGAACGAAAGCAUGGGUAGCAAACAGGAUUAGAUACCCUGGUAGUCCAUGCCGUAAACGGUGGGCACUAGGUGUGGGUUUCUAUUAACGAAAUCCGNGCCGUCGCUAACGCAUUAAGUGCCCCGCCUGGGGGAGGUACGGUCGCGAGACGUAAACUAAAUAGAGUAGUAACGGUCGUGAGAGUGCGAGGACGACGACGAGGAGAGG